AAACCAACAGGGAUUGCCUCAGUAACGGCGAGUGAAGCGGCAAGAGCUCAAAUUUGAAAUCUGGUACUUUCAGUGCCCGAGUUGUAAUUUGAAGAUUGUACUCUGGAGUUGGCCCUUAUCUAUGUUCCUUGGAACAGGACGUCACAGAGGGUGAGAAUCCCGUGCGAUGGGGAGCCCGAUUCCAUGUAGAGUGCUCUCGAAGAGUCGAGUUGUUUGGGAAUGCAGCUCUAAGUGGGUGGUAAAUUCCAUCUAAAGCUAAAUAUUGGCGAGAGACCGAUAGCGAACAAGUACAGUGAUGGAAAGAUGAAAAGAACUUUGAAAAGAGAGUGAAAAAGUACGUGAAAUUGUUGAAAGGGAAGGUUAUUAGAUCAGACUUGGUGUUUGGCGAUAUUCAGUCUCUCGUAGACUGUUCACUCGCCCUUCACUGGGCCAGCAUCGGUUUGGUGGCAGGAUAAAUCAUUAGAAUGUAGCUACCUCGGUAGUGUUAUAGCUUUUUGGAA
rnacentral:rRNA from 1 species